rnacentral:rRNA from 1 species
CCCUUAGAUGUUCUGGGCCGCACGCGUGCUACACUGAACGGUUCAAUGGGUAAGGUAGUGCGAAAGCAUGACCUAAUCUCGAAAUCCGUUCGUGCUGGGGAUAGAAGCUUGCAAUUAUCCUUCUUGAACGAGGAAUACCUUGUAAGCGUGAGUCAUCAUCUCACGCUGAAUACGUCCCUGCCCUUUGUACACACCGCUCGUCGCUCCUACCGAUUGAGUGUUCCGGUGAGGCUUUGGGAGAAUGGCCUCAACAUGAGUUUAUCGUGUUUUGCCGUUUGAACUUAGUCAAACCUUAUCACUUAGAGGAAGGAGAAGUCGUAACA